rnacentral:sRNA from 1 species
AUGUUGUCUGCCAUCACCGAGAUGGUAAAGUGAAUGAAAAUAAGGGAAUAAGGCUGUGCACAAGGUAAAAGAAACAUUGUCAAUGGAGUGUUUACUUUUGGAAAAUCCACGGCUAAACAGAGGACGAAUAUAAGUGAAUAAAAAAGAGUGAAGACAGAAUUUGUGUAAGACUUACGUAGAAAAGCAUAUAAACAACAGUGCUGAAGUCUGACCAUUCCAUUGUGGGUAUUAUUGUGAUAUUCGGCUAUUUGUGUGAUAUUGUUUAUGUGUGAAAUUAAAUCGGAGAGCACGUACAGGAGACCGUCAUAAAAAAGACAUCGAGAAUGCCUUAAAGAAUCCGUGAUUAAUUGUAACAUGACCAGUGACCGUGCAGGGCUUAAUUGUGAACUACCGGUAAAAGUAUCGACCUAAUUUCCGAAAAAUAUGGUAUAUGGUUUGAACUUCGCUCAUUGUGAACUUUUGACAAGUCCAUCUGUGCAUGCAUGUUGUGAUCAAACUGCAUUCAAGUUUAUCGAUCUGCAGCAACAAAUCAUCACCUAUCGGUUGAGUACUAUUUGUCAAAUUUCAAUAUGGUUUGUUCAUCAGUUUUGUGUUUAUUUUUGAAAUUUAUAAAAUGUGUAAAAUUUUAAGUUAAUUACUUGUGUCCUUUAUCUCUAAUUUUGCUGCAACUGUUUAAGUUAAACAACAUCUUUGUCAAUCACCAGUAGAAGUUAUUUGUUAAUUGAUUGAAAAGCAUAGUACAUGUAUGAGUAACUCAUUAUUAAAUGAUUAUUAGUGUU